rnacentral:rRNA from 1 species
CAGCGCCACAAGUGGCAAUCACGUUUAUUGGGCCUAAAGCGUCCGUAGCCGGUUUAGCAAAUCUUUUGUGAAAUCGUCAGGCUUAACUUGACGAAUUGCAGAAGACACUACUAAACUAGGGACUGGGAGGAGUCAGAAGUAUUCUGGGGAGACCGGUAAAAUGGUAUAAUCCCCAGAGGACUACCGAUGGCGAAGGCAUCUGACCAGAACAGAUCCGACGGUGAGGGACGAAAGCCAGGGGAGCAAACCGGAUUAGAUACCCGAGUAGUCC